AUCAUCUUUCUUACUUUAAAACAAAAAUUCAACAAUAGCGAGGCAUUUCAUUAUAAAUUUAACAUAUUUUUACUGGAAAAUACAUGCACGGAACAGCUUAGAAACACGUACAUGUCAUUGAUGUAAUGCGAUGUUUUGAGGUCACAAACAUGGACGCCGCUUGUUCGGCGGAGGUUUCAUUCCCCUAUAGUGGAGGACACGGCGAACCCUCCCUCCUUCUAUUCUAACCUCCUUGGUUUGCGCGCAGAGAAAUACGCGCUUGAUAUCCUUGUCAAACGUUUCAGAGAAAGAAUUGGCAACAUUAUUUUCAAGGUUAUCAUACAUGUGUUUACGAAGUAAACAAUGUUAGGCAAGCGGUUGAUUUUGGUGUGAUUUAAAUUCAGUUUUGUAUUUAAUUUAAAAUUCAGAUGCAGUUGUGGAUGGCUAAGUUUUUAAAAUUAAAUUAUUUUGUGAAGUUUGCUCGAACUACAAAUAUUAGGAUACCAGUAUGUCAUUCAAGUUCAGUAUCGUUAACACAGCAAGAAGUUGCUACUGCUCUGAGGCCAUUUUAUUUUGUUGUGCAUCCUGACCUUUUUUAUCAGUUUCCGAAAGAAAAGAUUUAAACUGAUGAUCUAUAAUCCGGAAAAAUCGAUAAUCCGGAAUCGCCGA